rnacentral:rRNA from 1 species
AAAACUCUAAGCGGUGGAUCACUCGGCUCAUGGGUCGAUGAAGAACGCAGCAAACUGUGCGUCAUCGUGUGAACUGCAGGACACAUGAACAUCGACAUUUUGAACGCAUAUCGCAGUCCAUGCUGUUAUGUACUUUAAUUAAUUUUAUAGUGCUGCUUGGACUACAUAUGGUUGAGGGUUGUAAGACUAUGCUAAUUAAGUUGCUUAUAAAUUUUUAUAAGCAUAUGGUAUAUUAUUGGAUAAAUAUAAUAAUUUUUAUUCAUAAUAUUAAAAAAUAAAUGAAAAACAUUAUCUCACAUUUGAAUGUGAAAAACGAAGAGAAAUAUUUUCUUUUUCAAUCAAAUAAUACUGAGAAAUGUCUAGCAUAAAAAAUUGAAAUAUUUUUCAUCUAGAAUUGUCUCUUAUUAAUGAUUCGGAAAUAGAAAAAUCUUGGUUAUGUUAUUAUUCUUCGUUGGUUCGUUAAAAAUGGAUAAAUAAAAACUUUGCAUACAAGAAUUAAUAAAAAUGUUAUAACGAAUUUAAUUAAAUGUUUUAUCAUUAUAUAUAAAGAAUUUAUGGCAAGAUAAAGUUAUAUACAACCUCAACUCAUAUGGGACUACCCCCUGAAUUUAAGCAUAUUAAUUAGGGGAGGAAAAGAAACUAACAAGGAUUUUCUUAGUAGCGGCGAGCGAAAAGAAAACAGUUCAGCACUAAGUCACUUUGUCUAUAUGGCAAAUGUGAGAUGCAGUGUAUGGAGCGUCAAUAUUCUAGUAUGAGAAAUUAACGAUUUAAGUCCUUCUUAAAUGAGGCCAUUUACCCAUAGAGGGUGCCAGGCCCGUAUAACGUUAAUGAUUACUAGAUGAUGUUUCCAAAGAGUCGUGUUGCUUGAUAGUGCAGCACUAAGUGGGUGGUAAACUCCAUCUAAAACUAAAUAUAACCAUGAGACCGAUAGUAAACAAGUACCGUGAGGGAAAGUUGAAAAGAACUCUGAAUAGAGAGUUAAACAGUACGUGAAACUGCUUAGAGGUUAAGCCCGAUGAACCUGAAUAUCCGUUAUGGAAAAUUCAUCAUUAAAAUUGUAAUAUUUAAAUAAUAUUAUGAGAAUAGUGUGCAUUUUUUCCAUAUAAGGACAUUGUAAUCUAUUAGCAUAUACCAAAUUUAUCAUAAAAUAUAACUUAUAGUUUAUUCCAAUUAAAUUGCUUGCAUUUUAACACAGAAUAAAUGUUAUUAAUUUGAUAAAGUGCUGAUAGAUUUAUAUGAUUACAGUGCGUUAAUUUUUCGGAAUUAUAUAAUGGCAUAAUUAUCAUUGAUUUUUGUGUUUAUUAUAUGCACUUGUAUGAUUAACAAUGCGAAAGAUUCAGGAUACCUUCGGGACCCGUCUUGAAACACGGACCAAGGAGUCUAACAUAUGUGCAAGUUAUUGGGAUAUAAACCUAAUAGCGUAAUUAACUUGACUAAUAAUGGGAUUAGUUUUUUAGCUAUUUAUAGCUAAUUAACACAAUCCCGGGGCGUUCUAUAUAGUUAUGUAUAAUGUAUAUUUAUAUUAUUUAUGCCUCUAACUGGAACGUACCUUGAGCAUAUAUGCUGUGACCCGAAAGAUGGUGAACUAUACUUGAUCAGGUUGAAGUCAGGGGAAACCCUGAUGGAAGACCGAAACAGUUCUGACGUGCAAAUCGAUUGUCAGAAUUGAGUAUAGGGGCGAAAGACCAAUCGAACCAUCUAGUAGCUGGUUCCUUCCGAAGUUUCCCUCAGGAUAGCUGGUGCAUUUUAAUAUUAUAUAAAAUAAUCUUAUCUGGUAAAGCGAAUGAUUAGAGGCCUUAGGGUCGAAACGAUCUUAACCUAUUCUCAAACUUUAAAUGGGUAAGAACCUUAACUUUCUUGAUAUGAAGUUCAAGGUUAUGAUAUAAUGUGCCCAGUGGGCCACUUUUGGUAAGCAGAACUGGCGCUGUGGGAUGAACCAAACGUAAUGUUACGGUGCCCAAAUUAACAACUCAUGCAGAUACCAUGAAAGGCGUUGGUUGCUUAAAACAGCAGGACGGUGAUCAUGGAAGUCGAAAUCCGCUAAGGAGUGUGUAACAACUCACCUGCCGAAGCAACUAGCCCUUAAAAUGGAUGGCGCUUAAGUUGUAUACCUAUACAUUACCGCUAAAGUAGAUGAUUUAUAUUACUUGUGAUAUAAAUUUUGAAACUUUAGUGAGUAGGAAGGUACAAUGGUAUGCGUAGAAGUGUUUGGCGUAAGCCUGCAUGGAGCUGCCAUUGGUACAGAUCUUGGUGGUAGUAGCAAAUAAUCGAAUGAGACCUUGGAGGACUGAAGUGGAGAAGGGUUUCGUGUGAACAGUGGUUGAUCACGAGUUAGUCGGUCCUAAGUUCAAGGCGAAAGCCGAAAAUUUUCAAGUAAAACAAAAAUGCCUAACUAUAUAAACAAAGCGAAUUAUAAUACACUUGAAUAAUUUUGAACGAAAGGGAAUACGGUUCCAAUUCCGUAACCUGUUGAGUAUCCGUUUGUUAUUAAAUAUGGGCCUCGUGCUCAUCCUGGCAACAGGAACGACCAUAAAGAAGCCGUCGAGAGAUAUCGGAAGAGUUUUCUUUUCUGUUUUAUAGCCGUACUACCAUGGAAGUCUUUCGCAGAGAGAUAUGGUAGAUGGGCUAGAAGAGCAUGACAUAUACUGUUGUGUCGAUAUUUUCUCCUCGGACCUUGAAAAUUUAUGGUGGGGACACGCAAACUUCUCAACAGGCCGUACCAAUAUCCGCAGCUGGUCUCCAAGGUGAAGAGUCUCUAGUCGAUAGAAUAAUGUAGGUAAGGGAAGUCGGCAAAUUAGAUCCGUAACUUCGGGAUAAGGAUUGGCUCUGAAGAUUGAGAUAGUCGGGCUUGAUUGGGAAACAAUAACAUGGUUUAUGUGCUCGUUCUGGGUAAAUAGAGUUUCUAGCAUUUAUGUUAGUUACUUGUUCCCCGGAUAGUUUAGUUACGUAGCCAAUUGUGGAACUUUCUUGCUAAAAUUUUUAAGAAUACUAUUUGGGUUAAACCAAUUAGUUCUUAUUAAUUAUAACGAUUAUCAAUUAACAAUCAAUUCAGAACUGGCACGGACUUGGGGAAUCCGACUGUCUAAUUAAAACAAAGCAUUGUGAUGGCCCUAGCGGGUGUUGACACAAUGUGAUUUCUGCCCAGUGCUCUGAAUGUCAAAGUGAAGAAAUUCGCUCGCAUGGGAGGCGGGUAGCUAGACACAACUGCGUAGUAAAUCGAAUCAAGCGGGGACUUGAGGAGAGAGGCUGCGUGGUCAUUGUUGAACCAAGUCUGCAGUGCGAAUCCGGCCUUAAUAAACCAGACCUGGUGGCACUACGACAAAAUCACAUUGAUGUGAUCGACAUACAAAUUGUGACAGACGGACACUCUAUGGAUGAUGCGCACCAGCGCAAAAUCAAUAGAUACGACAGACCGGACAUACGAACUGAAUUGCGUCGCAGAUUCGAAGCCGCAGGUGACAUUGAAUUCCAUUCUGCCACCCUGAACUGGAGGGGGAUCUGGAGUGGUCAAUCCGUUAAAAGAUUGAUAGCAAAGGGUCUCCUCAGCAAAUAUGAUAGUCAUAUCAUUAGCGUCCAGGUUAUGAGAGGCAGUCUCGGUUGUUUUAAACAGUUCAUGUACCUGAGCGGGUUUUCCCGAGAUUGGACUUAGCUAAAUCGUUUGGUUCAAAACAUUUGCUUGCUGUCUUGGCAUAACAUCAAUAAAGGCAUAAACAUCGCAAAAUAAUGGUUAUAAUUAAAUGGCUAUGAGGAUGGUUUUAGUACGUAGGCGUUGCGGAACUUCGGUUCAUAUAGAGCAAUGAAUCGUGCAUGCUAGGAAAACUGACCACACACAGUGUUGGCA